UGCCAGCCGCCGCGGUAACACGGGGGGCGCAAGCGUUAUUCGGAAUUAUUGGGCGUAAAGGGCGCGUAGGCGGUCUUGUCAGUCAGGUGUGAAAGCCCGGGGCUCAACCCCGGAAGUGCAUUGGAAACUGGCGAACUUGAGUACGGGAGAGGAAAGUGGAAUUCCGAGUGUAGGGGUGAAAUCCGUAGAUAUUCGGAGGAACACCAGUGGCGAAGGCGGCUUUCUGGACCAAUACUGACGCUGAGAUGCGGAAGCGUGGGGAGCGAACCGGAUUAGAUA
rnacentral:rRNA from 1 species